UACGAAGGGUGCAAACGUUGCUCGGAAUUAUUGGGCGUAAAGCGCACGUAGGCGGCUUAGCAAGUCGGAAGUGAAAUCCCACGGCUCAACCAUGGAAGUGCUUUCGAAACUGCUGAGCUUGAGUACAAAAAGAGGAUCGCGGAAUUCCCGGUGUAGAGGUGAAAUUCGUAGAUAUCGGGAGGAACACCAGUGGCGAAGGCGGCGAUCUGGGUUGAUACUGACGCUGAGGUGCGAAAAGCGUGGGGGAGCAAACAGGG
rnacentral:rRNA from 1 species